CCAGCAAAUUCCCUCCAGGCGCGAAAGAAGGAUUUGGCGUUUGCUUAAGCCCUAGUGGAGGGGUGUAUGCGUAAUGCAUGGAGAUCUGGACACCUUCUACCAAACAAUCCAACACAUGGGGAAAUUGAACGGCAUCAAAAUCUACCUUCUCCUCUGUUGCAGCGAUUUCCAGAUUCGGGAAAGAACUCUUGGAAUUGAAAGUAAAGCAGCUGCUCAGCCACUGGAAAAAUUGAGACUUCCUUAUCUGUUUUGCGCUAACUUGCACUGCAAAUUAGCUGCUCUUAUUCAACAUGGGGAAAGUGGCCCGUUGACAAAAUUUCUUGCACUUGAAAGUGUCUUUCAAGGCUCAAAUUUUUGGAGUGGUACGCAGGAUUGCUGACAAUGGGUUAGGAGCAGGUGCAAGCAAGAGGGGUCAAACCUUUUGAAUUGCACAGAGUGUUCCUUCUUUUGAUCCCAGCCAACUUGACUCUAACGAUUCCUUUGUUGGAACCCUCAAACAGAGUCUUUGUUACAGCUUUUGGAACUUCCUUAUCCUCUUGACAGUGUAUCAGAAUCAAGAGGACCAACUCAUGGUCUGGUCCUGCCCCACUAAUUCAGGUUCUUCUGCUGAGGAUAAUGAAGAAAUUCCCAUAGAUGAUGUGGAUUAGGGAGUGAGGAGGAUCUAGAGAUGCGCAAGGAGAUGUUUCACCAAAUUCACCUGCCAGGUGAUGGUUGAUGGAACCCACAGGGAGACUGAAAUCGUGUUGGAGGCAUUGUAUUUAUGGUCCUGUGCGGAUGAUGAUUUUGUUAUGGAUGAAAAGCAGCAACUCAAGAUGAUGAAUGCUGUGGGUCUUUCAGAAGGAAUGCGAGUUUUUCAUUGAUUAGAAUGUUAUUUCCCUGUAAGUACCAUUAAGUGUUCAUAUUUAUGUUAUGUGAUUCAAAGUGAUAAAUGGUACCAAUAAAUAAAGUAAAAAUUUGACUUGUUAAUGAUACUGACAGCUCUGGCUUA